GGAAGUAAAAGUCGUAACAGGGAUUCCGUAGGUGAACCUGCGGAAGGAUCAUUAUUGUAUAACCGAGGUGCGAGGGCUGUCGCUGACCCGAAAGGUCGUGCACGCCCGAGUGCCCUCACACACAUCCAUCUCACCCCUAUGUGCACCACCGCGUGGGUCCCCCUUUGGCUUGUUCGGAGGGGGGCUUACGUUUUCACACAAACUUUGUAUGCAGUGUAGAAUGUAUUUUUUGUUUUUGCGAUCACGCAAUCAAUACAACUUUCAACAACGGAUCUCUUGGCUCUC
rnacentral:misc_RNA from 1 species